rnacentral:misc_RNA from 1 species
AUGAUAUAUGUCGAAGAAACACAAGAAUAUACGCAGUGCGUGCCGAGUACAAACGAAGAAGUUAAAGUAGACGAUCAGAAUACAUCUUGUUAAUACAACAACGAGUUCAGGAGCACCGUUUCAACGUCACGUUACCACGGAUUACGUAAACACGACAUUUUCGACGAACUUUUUCCACGGUGGCGCCACCAUAUUUCCUACUUUAUUAAUGCCCGCACGACUUAAAUUAGUCCUCAAACUAGUACGUUUGGGUCACUACGAGAAUCUUAAACAAGAGCUUUAAGAUAAAUAAAAAAAGAAAAAGAUCUGUUUACUUCUAAUCCUAUUGUCCAUACUUG